rnacentral:rRNA from 1 species
AGAGUUUGAUCAUGGCUCAGGAUGAACGCUAGCUACAGGCUUAACACAUGCAAGUCGAGGGGAAACGACAUCGAAAGCUUGCUUUUGAUGGGCGUCGACCGGCGCACGGGUGAGUAACGCGUAUCCAACCUGCCCACCACUUGGGGAUAACCUUGCGAAAGUAAGACUAAUACCCAAUGACGUCUCUAGAAGACAUCUGAAAGAGAUUAAAGAUUUAUCGGUGAUGGAUGGGGAUGCGUCUGAUUAGCUUGUUGGCGGGGUAACGCCACAAGGCGACGAUCAGUAGGGGUUCUGAGAGGAAGGUCCCCCANAUUGGAACUGAGACACGGUCCAAAACUCCUACGGGUGCA